UGGGGAAUAUUGCACAAUGGGCGCAAGCCUGAUGCAGCCAUGCCGCGUGUAUGAAGAAGGCCUUCGGGUUGUAAAGUACUUUCAGCGGGGAGGAAGGUGUUGAGGCUAAUAACCUCAGCAAUUGACGUUACCCGCAGAAGAAGCACCGGCUAACUCCGUGCCAGCAGCCGCGGUAAUACGGAGGGUGCAAGCGUUAAUCGGAGUUACUGGGCGUAAAGCGCACGCAGGCGGUCUGUCAAGUCGGAUGUGAAAUCCCCGGGCUCAACCUGGGAACUGCAUUCGAAACUGGCAGGCUAGAGUCUUGUAGAGGGGGGUAGAAUUCCAGGUGUAGCGGUGAAAUGCGUAGAGAUCUGGAGGAAUACCGGUGGCGAAGGCGGCCCCCUGGACAAAGACUGACGCUCAGGUGCGAAAGCGUGGGGAGCAAACA
rnacentral:rRNA from 1 species